rnacentral:misc_RNA from 1 species
GAUGAAAACGCAGUGAAAUGCGAUAAUUAAUGUGAAUUGCAGAAUUCAGUGAAUCAUCGAGUCUUUGAACGCACAUUGCGCCCCCUGGUAUUCCGGGGGGCAUGCCUGUCCGAGCGUCAUUGCUGCCCUCAAGCACGGCUUGUGUGUUGGGCUUCCGUCCCUGGCAACGGGGACGGGCCCAAAAGGCAGUGGCGGCACCAUGUCUGGUCCUCGAGCGUAUGGGGCUUUGUCACCCGCUCCCGUAGGUCCAGCUGGCAGCUAGCCUCGCAACCAAUCUUUUUAACCAGGUUGACCUCGGAUCAGGUAGGGAUACCCGCUGAACUUAAGCAUAUCAAUAAGCGGAGGA